AUUCUUCAAACUUGUCAUGACUUUUUAGUAGCCAGUGUUGUGUUGUGAUAUAACUAUAUGAUAAAAAUAUAUCUAAAAAUGAUUUUUUAAUUAAUAUUCUAUUACCUUAAUUCAACAAGAAUUCAAUAUAUUUUAAUAAGGCUUUUAUGAUAGCAUUUUAGCAUAUUAUCUUGACUUAAUAGAAAAUACAUAAAAAUUAUUAUUUUUAUCUUCUAGGAUAUAAAAACUCUUUUACUACCUUAGAAAGGCCAUAAAUUAAUAAAAUCAGGAUAGAAGGGAUAAAUGGUUGCUAUGGUUGAUAUAAAAAUUAAAUUAAGGAUAGAAUCAAGCUAAAAAAUCUUUAAGAUAGGUUAGAUUGAUAUCCAAAGGUUGACUAUUUGUGAGACAAGGUUGAAAUUAGACAUCUAGCCACAAAAAUGAUGACCUAAGAUAAAAUAUGAGAGAUUUGGAAGAUUAG
rnacentral:lncRNA from 1 species